UACGUAGGGGGCUAGCGUUGUCCGGAAUCAUUGGGCGUAAAGCGCGCGUAGGCGGCCCGGUAAGUCCGCUGUGAAAGUCAAAGGCUCAACCUUUGAAUGGUCAGCGGAUACUGCCAGGCUAGAGUCCGGAAGAGGCGAGUGGAACUCCUGGUGUAGCGGUGGAAUGCGCAGAUAUCAGGAAGAACACCCGUGGCGAAGGCGGCUCUCUGGGACGGUACUGACGCUGAGACGCGAAAGCGUGGGGAGCGAACAGG
rnacentral:rRNA from 1 species